GCCUGGGUGGCUCAGUCAGUUGAGCAUCUGACUUUGGUUCAGGUCAUGAUCUUGCGGUUCAUGAGUUCGAGCCCCACAUCAGGCU
rnacentral:tRNA from 1 species